GAUGUGUGUUGAAAAUGGACCACCAUUGUGUUUGGGUUGUUAACUGUGUCGGGGCACUUAAUUAUAAGUAUUUCCUUCUUUUCUUGCUUUACACCUUUUUGGAAACAACUCUUGUGACUUUACUUCUCAUGCCGCACUUCAUUGCAUUCUUUAGCGAUGAAGAGAUACCUGGAACCCCAGGCACACUUGCUACUACUUUUCUUGCAUUUGUUUUAAACCUGGCAUUUGCUUUGAGCGUUAUGG